GUGCUUGAAUGCACGUACUUCGAGACGACCUGACCCGACAAAACCGGGCCGACCCGACCUGCCUCUGGUACACCUGCGGCUCAUAUUGCCUAUAAAUAGAGGGCUUGGGGUGCUAAUUUUUAAGAGAAAAAAGACGGGAAAACCCUGCACAAUUUUCUCUGCACUCGCCAUACAGUGUAUUUUCCCACUUUCAAACACCUGUGAGCUCAUAUAUUGCCUCUUUUGUA
rnacentral:lncRNA from 1 species